UUAUUAAAAACAAGUUUGCUGAAAUUAGAAAGAUAAAGAUUAGCAUAGAGCCCUGUGCAAGGAUGACACUUAUAAAUCGAGAAAUGAUCUAAAUUUUU